ensembl:lncRNA
GUCUAAUUCACUAUGUCUAAUUCACUAUGUCUAAUUCACUAUGUCUAAUUCACUAGGUCUAAUUCACUAUGUCUAAUUCACUAGGUCUAAUUCACUAGGUCUAAUUCACUAGGUCUAAUUCACUAUGUCUAAUUCACUAGGUCUAAUUCACUAUGUCUAAUUCACUAUGUCUAAUUCACUAUGUCUAAUUCACUAUGUCUAAUUCACUAGGUCUAAUUCACUAGGUCUAAUUCACUAGGUCUAAUUCACUAGGUCUAAUUCACUAUGUCUAAUUCACUAUGUCUAAUUCACUAUGUCUAAUUCACUAGGUCUAAUUCACUAUGUCUAAUUCACUAUGUCUAAUUCACUAGGUCUAAUUCACUAGGUCUAAUUCACUAGGUCUAAUUCACUAUGUCUAAUUCACUAGGUCUAAUUCACUAUGUCUAAUUCACUAUGUCUAAUUCACUAUGUCUAAUUCACUAGGUCUAAUUCAC